rnacentral:rRNA from 1 species
CGAACAGAUAAGGAGCUUGCUCCUUUGACGUUAGCGGCGGACGGGUGAGUAACACGUGGGUAACCUACCUAUAAGACUGGAAUAACUCCGGGAAACCGGGGCUAAUGCCGGAUAAUAUUUAGAACCGCAUGGUUCUAAAGUGAAAGAUGGUUUUACUAUCACUUAUAGAUGGACCCGCGCCGUAUUAGCUAGUUGGUGGGGUAAUGGCUUACCAAGGCAACGAUACGUAGCCGACCUGAGAGGGUGAUCGGCCACACUGGAACUGAGACACGGUCCAGACUCCUACGGGAGGCAGCAGUAGGGAAUCUUCCGCAAUGGGCGAAAGCCUGACGGAGCAACGCCGCGUGAGUGAUGAAGGUCUUCGGAUCGUAAAACUCUGUUAUUAGGGAAGAACAAAUGUGUAAGUAACUGUGCACGUCUUGACGGUACCUAAUCAGAAAGCCACGGCUAACUACGUGCCAGCAGCCGCGGUAAUACGUAGGUGGCAAGCGUUAUCCGGAAUUAUUGGGCGUAAAGCGCGCGUAGGCGGUUUCUUAAGUCUGAUGUGAAAGCC